GGAGAACAGCUCCCAGCAGCCCACACAUGGUGACUGCGUGAGCGGCCUGUGGCCACCACAAUAGUUACCACAAAUUGGGUGGCAAAAGACAAGAGAAAUGUAUUCCCCCCAGUUCUGGGGGCCAGAAGUCUGAAGUCAAGUCAUCCGCAGAGCCCUGCUCCCUCUGAAGCCUCCAGCGGGGAUCCUUCCUGCCUCUUCCAACUCCUGGUGGCCCCAGGCAUUCCCUGGCUUGUGGAUGCAUCACUCCCAUCUCUGCUUCCGUUUUCAUGUGGCCUCUCCUCUAUGUGUGUCUGUGUCUUCUCUUCUGCUUCUUAUGAGGACACCUGUCAUCGGCUUUACAACCCACCGUAAGUUCAAGACGAUCUCAUCUCAAGAUCCUUAUCUUAAUUAUGUCUAUGAAGAUUCUAUUUCCAAAUAAGUUCAUAUUCGUGCGGUCUGGAAGAUUAGAAUGUGGACACAUCUUUUUCAGGGACACAAUUCACCCCACUGCAGUGACCACAGCCGGAUCAGACUCGUUCACCCACUUCAGUGACCACAGAUGGAUCAGACUCGUUCGCUCCCUGCAGUGACCACGGCCGGAUCAGACUUGUUCCCUACAAAGGGGAUUUCUCAUGAGAGCCAGUCACACGAGGGCAGAGACUUUGGUUAUCCUCGCCCUGGUAGCUUCAGCAUCUGCGCUGCAUGUGGUGGCACAACUGAGGCUCUCAGAUAAUUUCCCAAAGGUCUGACAGCUAGAAAAUCAUGUAAUCUGAUGCUUAAGCCAGUGCUCCAAGCCAGAGGUGAGCAAACCAUAGUCUGUAGGACAAAUCUGGCCCAUCACCUGUGACCACAGCCAGAUUCUGCCACAAAAACAGGAGAAUUCUCCGAGAACACAUCCAGUUUAAUUACAGCACAGUCACACUCGUUAUUCAAAGCAUCAUCUCCGGCUUUCUUCCCUGCUGCAAUGGCAAAGCUGAGUAAUUGAGAGAGACAGUAGGAACUGAACAGCCUGAAAUACUUGUCAUCUGGCCCUUCAUGUAAAUGUCUCCUGAACUCUGCUCUAUGCUGCCGAUACUAUAUUAUCUAUUCUAUUCAGUGUAUAUGUUAUCAUUUAUAUCAAACGUUUAAGGGCUUUGUAUCUAUAAUUUGAGAAAUGUUUACAUUUGAUUCUCAAAUGAAACCCACCAACAAUUAAUUUACAAGGAAACAGGUACUUCUUGAACAUGAUGGCCUUCCCCACUGUGUUUCUAUUUUCACAGGGAUGUUUUCAGACUCGAUGAUCCCAAAAGUGAUCCCAUUAGAAGAAGAAGGAAAAAAAAAUAAAAAAGAAAGAAACAACCUCCGCCCCUGCAACCUCUUAAACGGCCCACAACAUCUGAAUCGGAAGGUCCGUUCAUGCUGAUUUUCUACGUGUCAGGAAUUUCAUGCCAAAAAGCGACUCUUCUACAUUAAUAACGCAUCUCCCCAUCCAAGACAGGAAAUAACAUUACAAAAGCCGGAAAGGACAUCAAACGCGCUGGCUUGGCAGCCACAUGUAUAUGUGAAAUUACUGUCAGAGUUCAAAGGCAGGGCUGAGACAUGGAGGGUGCGUGCGGCAGUGUUACCCCAUGAUGCUUUUACCUCGUGGGAAUAAGCACAGUGGCAGGUUACUGUGACCUGGCCACUGGCUUCCUGAUACCCACAUUGAUUCUGGCACGUGGGACUGCAGGGCUGGAUUUGGGUGGGCUUUGCAGCUCCCCAUACAUCCUACCCCAGCUCAAGAGCCUCACACGUAAAGCAACCUUUCCAGGUUUGGGCAGCCCGGACCAGUGCCUGCACCCAGGGCUGGCCAAUGCUGCAGAGCUGGCUCUUACUGAGCACUGCACUAAUUAUUAAAGCAUUGCCUCAGGACUCUUGCACAACCUUGAGAAGUAGGAGCUAUCAUGCCCCCUAAUUCAUGGAUGGGGAAUUGAAGAUGAAUUGAGGUUACUUGAUGUGCCCAUUGCAUGGAGGAAGUGGAGGAACCAAGGUUCAAGCCCAAAGAUUCCAUCACUCACAACUACCAGGCUUCACUGCUUCAAUGUGGAAGCUUCCUUGGGAGAUGCAGCCAACCACGCCCAGGCAAGGUUGGACCUGAAGGUGUGAAGAGCUCACCUUUCUGGUUAAGGCAAGUCACUGAGCCCCAUUUGGAGAUGGAGUUUGCAUCAAUCUUCAUGGCAAGAGGGAUCAUGACAUGAAUGAGAGGGCAGCAAUUUGACCAAAGGCUCUUCUAGCUAGACAGGUAACUUGGUUUAUCCUCCUGACUCAUUAAACUGCCUGGUGAACUCCUAUGCAUUCUUCAAAACCCAGUUUAAACAUUCCUUUCACCAUGAAGAUUUCCUUGCCCCAUAAAAAGUCAAUCAACUCUUUCUUUGGGCCCCUGAAGUGUAUGUGUUGUGAGUGCUUCUGUCUUGACACAGACUGCUUUGCCUUGAAUGUGUGCAGCUCGCUGUCUGUAUAGUACAUUCAUCAAGGACAGGAAUUGUGUUCAAUGUGCCUGUGGACACCAGCUUGGAUUAACAGGAACAACGCUAGUAACACCCAGCGCUAGUUAAUCACGUACUCUGUGCUGCGCACUCCUCUAACGGGGUCAUGGGCUCUAAUCCUUAAAACACCGUAGGAGGCUGCUGUGAUUAUUAUUCCCAAUGGCGAGGCGUGUAGGCUCUGAAGCCAGGCCACCUGGGUUUGAACCCUGGCUCUGCCUGUGACCUUGAGUGAGUUACUCAGCCUCUCUGUGUCUCGGGAUUCUCAGUGACAUAGGGAUCAUCACAGCAGUCACCCAGUGAGGGCUGGAGCCAACUCCGGCAAGAGCUAACUAUUAAAGCUUAAAGAAUUUUGCCAUCGUUAAACAUUACAUUAUGCACACUUAGAGUGGAGUAAACUAUAUUUAAAACAAACGUAAUAAACACUCAAAAGUCAUCACUUCCUAAUUAUUUCCCCACAUUUUACUUUCCUCCCUGCCCUUAAGGAUACUCACGUUUCCACUUUGGUGGAAAUACGGAAUAACGAUGAGCUUGCACACUGCUUCCCAACUUUAUGUUCAAUGGCCUCACACUGGUUGAAAUGAGACGUAAGGAGGGGAUUUACACCAUGGAGACUGGCAAACGCUAUAACUCAGGGUUUUUUUAACCUUGGAAAACCACUUGUUAAGCAUUCCCCAGCACAGCGAUGUAACCACCUUAUAGCAAGCACACAGUAAGCUGUCAAUAUGCAUUAGCUACUAUUGCUAUUACUACGAAGAAGACAGAGCUUAAAUCACUCACCCAGGUUAUGAAAGAUCCAGGUAUGACCCCAGACAUGACAGCUCCCUAUCCCUUAACCAGCUUGAACUCAAGGCAGACCACAGAGGAGUGGCCAAGAAAUGUAUUUGGUUGAAUAAACAAACAUUGAAUUAGUAGAUCUCAAAUCUGCUGGCCGCAGAAGUGCCUGGGGAGCUUUGUAUGGACACAGAUUCCCACAGUAUCCCUUGUGGUAGGCUCCAGAGUGUGCAUUAGAGCGAGUGCGUCGGGUUCUGAUUCUGUCCCUCCCCAUAGCCCAGCCCCAUCCCUGUCUUGCUUGUUGCCCGCUUGUGACCCAUCUUCCACAUCUGCCUUCCUGCAUCCCUACGGGGGUGAGUGGGAACUGUGAGGUGGAGAACCGCAUAGGGCAGGGGCCCCUCUGUGCACAGGCCUUAACCAAGAGAGGGCUUGAAGACUGAACACCGUUGCAGGCAAAUUAGAAGAAAACCUGCCUCCUCCAGCAGACACUGACCGUGGUGUAUAGGCAGCCAAGAGAGGCCGCAGCUUACCUGGGCUCAGAGGCCUGCAUAUAUCUGAGUCCACGGUAACAAAAAACAGGCUGUGAGCGUGCACUGCACUUGCAAAUUCACAAAAUGCUGCCACAUUCCUUCUCCUUUCAUCUCACGAUAACCCCAUGAGAUCAGCAAUGGAUGCAUAAAAAUAAUCCCCCGUUUACAGAUGAGGAAACAUGUGACUCAUAUAGCUCAGAGCUGCUCAUGCCUGGAGCCUCAGGCUUCAAAGCUGUGUUUUUCCUUCAAAAGUGGGUGUGAGGGAGAGAAGUGGAGAAGAUGGGGGCCGGAGUCCCGGAAAGUCAACGUUUAUGCAUUAUGUUGGCUUUGCUACCCACUAGCUGUGUGACCCUGGAAAAGCUUCUUAAUUUCUCUGUGCCUUAAGUUUGCACCUUUGAAAAACCUAAGAAAAUGAUUGGCAGCCUCCUCUUAUGGUUGUGGUGAAUUAAUAGAUGUAAAAAUGCCUCUUAGAAUGUUGCACUGGGUGGGGUUCAAUAAUGGAAUAGACAGGAACCACAGCAACAGCUAUAAUGAUAUUGUUGCCUUUAUAUAUCUUGUGGCAUUUCCGGGCUAUUAUUUUUAAAAGGCAGGCUAUUGAGCUAUCUGGGAUAGAUCAAGUGACGGAUACGUAGAUGGGAAGUCAAGGAGCUCUAGACUGGAAGUUGGGGACCAUGGAUUGAAGACCUCAUCCAGUCAACAGGUAUUUCCUGGACACAUACGAUGUGUCCAGUCCUCUGAAGGUCCCCUCUGACAAAGUGGCUGCAUGGAGCAAUAGCUACGACUGUGACCCCAGGGCCACACAGACAGGGUCUAUGUCUGCAGCUGAUGGGCUCACGGCCUUGCUCUAGUCCCUUAUCUCCCUGCAUCUGUCGUCCCGUCUGUAAAAUAGAAUGAAUCAGAAAAUAAACAGCAUCUCUCUGACUCAGUGGCUGCAUGGAGCAAUAGGUAAGAGUGUGACCCCAGGGCCACACAGACAGGGUCUACAUCUGCAACUGAUGGGCUCACAGCCUUGCUCUAGCCCCUUGUCUAUCUGUAUCUGUCAUCCAAUCUGUAAAACAGAAUGAAUCAG
rnacentral:lncRNA from 1 species